rnacentral:lncRNA from 1 species
CCUCUCUCAAAAAGUAGGCAUUAUAUAUAAUUGACCUUUUUAGGGUACUGAGUACUGACAAUUAUGGUGCAUUUAUGUAUCUAUGGUGAUUUUAUGUUUCAUUUUUGCCAGGCACGGUGAGGUUUAAUCUUGAUCCUUUCAAUGAACACAAUGAUGCUGACCUGUGGGAGGCUUUAGAGAGGGCACAUCUAAAGGAUGCCAUCAGGAGGAAUUCUUUGGGUUUGGAUGCACAGGUACAGAAAUCAUGCUUUGUUCAAUGAUAUUUUGUUUCGCCCCCAUUAUAAUGAGAAUUUGGGAAAAAUGUAUUUUGCAAUAGUAAUUUUUUGAAGAAUGUGUGGUUAAAAAAGAAAAAAAAAAGCUUUGGGUAUGCACACUCACUAUAUCUAUAUACGUAAACGUUUCAGUUGAUAGCCUUUCAAAAAAGCCCUUUCUCUCUAUUACAUGUCAUAUUAUUUUAUUGGAAAAUGUAUGGUUGACAAGAAGAGAAAAAAAUGAAUUAUAACUUUAAUGGAGCGAAACAGGGAUUUAGUAUUUCACUUACACUUUGUUAACCUCUAACAUGGAGAACGAAUGCUCUUUUCUACAACCGGAAUCGAAUUUGUUAUACAUACGGUGUUCGUCUAGUUUGCAACAAUAUUAUUGGGAAAGACUAAUCAUUUGAUCAUUUGCUUGCUAAUGAAUGCAAGUAAUUGAAAUAUGUGCUCCACAUUGCUAUGUUGGAAUAACUUGACAGUGAAGUUUGCAUGUGAUUUUCAGUUCUCUCUUUUGAACUUAACUCAAAUUUCUGCCUUAUCAAGGUCUCAGAAGCUGGGGAGAACUUCAGUGUUGGACAGAGACAGUUGUUAAGUCUUGCUCGAGCAUUGCUUCGCAGAUCAAAAAUUCUUGUCCUCGAUGAAGCGACUGCUGCUGUUGAUGUUAGAACCGAUGCUCUUAUUCAGAAGACUAUAAGAGAAGAGUUCAAAUCGUGCACAAUGCUCAUUAUUGCUCACCGUUUAAAUACGAUUAUCGACUGCGACAGGAUUCUUCUGCUUGAUGCUGGUCAGGUACAUGGAGGCAUUAGAGGCUAAUUCUAAUGUGUGUGAGACACUGAAUGAAAAAAGAUGAGGAAAAAAAUGAACUGACAACCGGGAUUCUUAAAAGAUUUGUGUUUGAUUAGUAUGUAGGGAUCUGGAUCUGCGUAAAAUAAUUUUUGUCCCUCUUUCUCAGGUCGUGGAAUAUGAUACUCCUGAAAUGCUGCUGCAAAAUGUAGAAAGUGCAUUCUCUAAGAUGGUUCAGAGCACGGGGGCUGCAAAUGCUGAGUACUUACGCAGCUUAGUACUUAGAGGGGAAGGUGAUAGCAAAUUAGAAAGAGGAAAACAAGUGGAUGGGCAAAGAAAAUGGCUCGCCUCGUCCAGAUGGGCUGCUGCUGCACAAUUUGCACUUGCUGUUAGCCUCACUUCAUCACAGAAUGACCUGUUGCAGUUGGAAAUUAAAGAUGGGGAUAGUAUCCUUAGGAAAACAAAGGAUGCUGUAAUAACACUUCAGGGGGUUUUGGAGGGGAAGCAUGACAAAGUGAUUGAAGAAAAUCUUGAUCAGUACCAGGUCCCCCGGGAUAGAUGGUGGUCAGCUCUAUACAGAAUGAUUGAAGGUACUAUUUUAUUCUUCUCGUUAUGACAUAUGCCGUGACUUACAAUGGGGAAAGUUUAUCGUAUUUUCUGUUUCCAUUAUAAGUAUACAUUUCCAUUUCCAGGUCUUGCGGUCAUGAGUAGGCUGGCACGGAACAGGCUUCAUCAUGAGGACAACUUUGCAGAUCGAUCAAUUAAUUGGGAUGACGUCGAAAUGUAGGGGUAACUACGACACAUUUUGACUUAAUGGACUUGCAGUCUAACAGGGAGUUGUAACUUAAAUAAAGGCACCACCCUGAUUUAGAAGACAGUUAAUGCUGUCUAUUUUGCGGGCCACCAAACUUGGCGAGCCUGCUUCUGUUAAAUUGGGCACAGGAUUUUGAACUCCAUGACCAUUUCUGUGUGUAGGCUGGAUAGCUAUCUAAAAAGUUUUGACACAUUAAAUAGCUCGAAAGCAUGCUUGGACGUAUACUUUUUAACUAACUAUUUAUUUUUAAACACAUUAGAUAAUUAAUUUUUAUUUUAUUUUUUUAACUUUUAGUUAUAAAGGUUACUUUCUAAAACUAAAACAUGAAUUAGGAGGCUGUAUUGCAUCAUAUGGCAGCCGUGAGGAUUAUUGUCACUAUGAUAUCUAGCGAUGUCAAGUGCAGUUUUGUAAAUUUUUUAAUAAUGGUGAAAUUUAGUAUAUCGAAUCAAUAACAGCUCAAGUUAGUGCAACCUUUUCUUCUUCUUUCUUUCUUUCUUUUUUUAACUCUCUAAAGGAUUCCAAGGUGGAAAAUUUUGGAAGUUAGCAGUUUCUGAAAAGAAUGCAUGGUUGGUCUAUUAAGUAGCUGACUGGCUACAUUCAAUUGGCGUUUAAUCAUGAUAAGCAAUCUGAGUAAACUCCAUGCCAAAUUAGACCUGUGCAAUAAAUUUUUAAAAUGUACCUCUCUCAAAAAGUAGGCAUUAUAUAUAAUUGACCUUUUUAGGGUACUGAGUACUGACAAUUAUGGUGCAUUUAUGUAUCUAUGGUGAUUUUAUGUUUCAUUUUUGCCAGGCACGGUGAGGUUUAAUCUUGAUCCUUUCAAUGAACACAAUGAUGCUGACCUGUGGGAGGCUUUAGAGAGGGCACAUCUAAAGGAUGCCAUCAGGAGGAAUUCUUUGGGUUUGGAUGCACAGGUACAGAAAUCAUGCUUUGUUCAAUGAUAUUUUGUUUCGCCCCCAUUAUAAUGAGAAUUUGGGAAAAAUGUAUUUUGCAAUAGUAAUUUU